rnacentral:sRNA from 1 species
GCUGGGUGUGGUGGUGCACUCCUGUAAUCCCAGCUACUCAGGAGGCAAAGGCAGAAGAAUCUCAAAUUUGAGGCCAGCCUCUGCCAUUU